GGGGACUGGUGGACAGGGUUGGAAGGGAGUUGAAAGGGGACAUGGGAGAAGCGCAAGCUGCCUGGAUUCCCUUAUCUCUGAGGCGGCAUAAAGUGAACAUGCCAAACACCUUCAGACUGGGGCGGGAGCAGAGUGUGCCUUGUUAUCCCCCCUACCACCAUGUUUAAAAUGGGAUUUAAGACAGGGCGAAUGAGCGUCUGAGUACGUCCGUGCGUGCGUGCGUGCGUGCGAGCGUGCGGAAGCGUCUCAAAACGAACAAGAGAUAGACGGCAGUGGGCAACCCUCCAGGAUACCCAGAAUGUCGCACUUGUGAAAAAGGGGACAACAUCUGCUGCUGACAGGCUGUUGAUGGUUUGACAGCGCUGCUUUUGAACAUGUCUGGAUACCUCUGAGCAGAUGCGGACGCUGAAAUGUACUGUGGCUGCCUUCAGCACGGAAGAUGAAGAACGAAGCCCGGAUGAAAUUGCGCAGCGCAUCUCAGCAUAUGCAGAUUUGUUAUGUAGACCAUGGGAUUAAACAGGCAAUAAACGAAUUUCCGGUUA